rnacentral:rRNA from 1 species
ACAAGCGGUGGAGCAUGUGGUUAAUUCGACGCAACGCGAAGAACCUUACCAGGGCUUGACAUCCCCUGACCGCGUAUGAAAGUACGUUUUCACCUUCGGGAGACAGGGAGACAGGUGGUGCAUGGUUGUCGUCAGCUCGUGUCGUGAGAUGUUGGGUUAAGUCCCGCAACGAGCGCAACCCCUACGUUUAGUUGCUAACGCGUGAAGGCGAGCACUCUAGACGAACUGCCGUUGACAAAACGGAGGAAGGUGGGGAUGACGUCAAAUCAUCAUGCCCCUUAUGUUCUGGGCUACACACGUGCUACAAUGGCCGGUACAGACGGACGCAAAGCCGCGAGGUGGAGCAAAUCCUAGAAAGCCGGUCUCAGUUCGGAUUGCAGGCUGCAAUUCGCCUGCAUGAAGUCGGAAUCGCUAGUAAUCGCAGGUCAGCAUACUGCGGUGAAUACGUUCCCGGGCCUU